AAAAGAUGGUUUUGCUAUCACUUAUAGAUGGACCCGCGCCGUAUUAGCUAGUUGGUAAGGUAACGGCUUACCAAGGCAACGAUACGUAGCCGACCUGAGAGGGUGAUCGGCCACACUGGAACUGAGACACGGUCCAGACUCCUACGGGAGGCAGCAGUAGGGAAUCUUCCGCAAUGGACGAAAGUCUGACGGAGCAACGCCGCGUGAGUGAUGAAGGUUUUCGGAUCGUAAAACUCUGUUAUUAGGGAAGAACAAAUGUGUAAGUAACUGUGCACAUCUUGACGGUACCUAAUCAGAAAGCCACGGCUAACUACGUGCCAGCAGCCGCGGUAAUACGUAGGUGGCAAGCGUUAUCCGGAAUUAUUGGGCGUAAAGCGCGCGUAGGCGGUUUCUUAAGUCUGAUGUGAAAGCCCACGGCUCAACCGUGGAGGGUCAUUGGAAGCUGGGAAACUUGAGUGCAGAAGAGGAAAGUGGAAUUCCAUGUGUAGCGGUGAAAUGCGCAGAGAUAUGGAGGAACACCAGUGGCGAAGGCGACUUUCUGGUCUGUAACUGACGCUGAUGUGCGAAAGCGUGGGGAUCAAACAGGAUUAGAUACCCUGGUAGUCCACGCCGUAAACGAUGAGUGCUAAGUGUUAGGGGGUUUCCGCCCCUUAGUGCUGCAGCUAACGCAUUAAGCACUCCGCCUGGGGAGUACGACCGCAAGGUUGAAACUCAAA
rnacentral:rRNA from 1 species